GACGAACGCUGGCGGCGUGCUUAACACAUGCAAGUCGAACGGUGAAGCGCCUUCCUUUUUGGUGGGUGUGGAUGAGUGGCGAACGGGUGAGUAACACGUGAGUAACCUGCCCCCUUCUUCUGGAUAACCGCAUGAAAGUGUGGCUAAUACGGGAUAUUCUGGGUCUGUCGCAUGAUGGGUCUGGGAAAGAUAUUGUUUCGGUGGGGGAUGGGCUCGCGGCCUAUCAGCUUGUUGGUGGGGUGAUGGCCUACCAAGGCGGUGACGGGUAGCCGGCCUGAGAGGGUGGACGGUCACACUGGGACUGAGACACGGCCCAGACUCCUACGGGAGGCAGCAGUGGGGAAUAUUGCACAAUGGGCGCAAGGCUGAUGCAGCGACGCCGCGGGAGGGAUGGAGGCCUUCGGGUUGUGAACCUCUUUCGCCAGUGAAGCAGGCCUGCCUCGUUUGUGGGUGGGUUGACGGUAGCUGGAUAAGAAGCGCCGGCUAACUACGUG
rnacentral:rRNA from 1 species